rnacentral:misc_RNA from 1 species
GAGAAGUCUCGCUGGCCGGCCAGGAGGAGGAUCGAUUCAUUGCAAUUCUUCUAAUCUCUCCGCCUUCUAUCGUGUCUCCGGCUACCCAAUUUCUGGCAAAAUCAUGACAACAUCAAGGCGUCUUGCAGACCGAAAGGUGGUGAGGUUCGAGAAGAAUAUCACAAAGAGAGGAGCUGUUCCAGAGACGUCCGUUAAGAAGGGGAAGGAGUAUCCUGUUGGGCCCCUGCUGCUUGGAUUCUUCGUAUUUGUUGUCAUUGG